GACUCUGUACACUUUAAGGAUUGUUCAAAGUGGGUUGAAGAUUCCAGAAGAGGGGAUAUCUUGCUGCAGAUCUUGUUGUAUGUAUUGCCUAUAUUUUGGUUACAGGGUUAGAGAGGUGUUUUAUAUUUUUUUAUAUCAGCAUUGACGCUCAAGCCUCCUGCCGUAUUGAAUUGAAGUUCUCAGCGCUCAGCGGUGGCAAUGGUUCUU
rnacentral:lncRNA from 1 species